UUUCAUCAAGGAUCGGCUCUGAGCCUUUUCUUACUACAAUGGUGAUGGACAGGUUGACGGACAAGAUCAGAUCGGUGCAGCCCGUCUCAGUACUGCAGCGGGAGGUCAUCCCUGCGGUCUGCUUUCCACCCACAACCGCUGAGAUCGCUGCUGCUGUGCAGGGUCGCGGGGAUGCUGGAGCCUAUUCCAGCAGUGAUUGGGCGGCAGGCGGGGAGACACCCUGGACACAUACCUAGGGACAAUUUAGUAUGGCUGAUUCACCUGACCUACAUGUCUUGGGACUGUGGGAGGAAAUCGGAGCCCCCGGAGGAAACCCACGCAGACACGGGGAGAACAU